AAGACUAUACUUUCAGGGAUCAUUUCUAUAGUUUGUUACUAGAGAAGUUUCUCUGACUGUGUAGAGCACCCGAAACCACGAGGAGGAGACAGAGUGUCCUUUCCUGAGCGUGAAGCCGGCUUUUAGUGCUGCAUUUUGCAACUGCUAUCUGCCAUUGAUGAUCGUUCUCAACUCUCUUGAGGGUUGAGAGGGAGAGGACACAGUCUGAGUGGU
rnacentral:snoRNA from 7 species